rnacentral:rRNA from 1 species
GACGAACGCUGGCGGCGUGCUUAACACAUGCAAGUCGAACGAGACGAUUGAAAGCUUGCUUUCGAAAGUCGAGUGGCAAACGGGUGAGUAACGCGUAAACAACCUGCCUUUGAGAUGGGGACAACAGUUCGAAAGGACUGCUAAUACCGAAUGUUGUAUAUUUUCCACAUGGAAGAUAUAUUAAAGAUGGCCUCUAUUUAUAAGCUAUCGCUCAAAGAUGGGUCUGCGUCUGAUUAGCUAGUUGGUGGGGUAACGGCCUACCAAGGCGACGAUCAGUAGCCGGUCUGAGAGGAUGAACGGCCACAUUGGGACUGAGACACGGCCCAGACUCCUACGGGAGGCAGCAGUGGGGAAUCUUCCACAAUGGGCGAAAGUCUGAUGGAGCAACGCCGCGUGAGUGAAGAAGGGUUUCGGCUCGUAAAGCUCUGUUGUCGGGGACGAAUGUGCAGUAUUUGAAUAAAGUACUGUAAUGACGGUACCUGACGAGGAAGCCACGGCUAACUACGUGCCAGCCGCCGCAGUAA